GUGAGGAAUAUUGGUCAAUGGGCGAGAGCCUGAACCAGCCAAGUAGCGUGAGGGAUGACUGCCCUAUGGGUUGUAAACCUCUUUUGCAGGGGGGUAAAGUGGUUCACGUGUGGACCAUUGCAAGUACCCUGCGAAUAAGGAUCGGCUAACUCCGUGCCAGCAGCCGCGGUAAUACGGAGGAUCCGAGCGUUAUCCGGAUUUAUUGGGUUUAAAGGGAGCGUAGGCGGGGGUUUAAGUCAGCUGUGAAAUGCCGUGGCCCAACCAUGGAACUGCAGUUGAAACUGGACCUCUUGAGAGUACAUAAGGAAGGCGGAAUUCGUGGUGUAGCGGUGAAAUGCAUAGAUAUCACGAAGAACUCCGAUUGCGAAGGCAGCUUUCCGGGGUACAUCUGACGCUGAAGCUCGAAAGUGCGGGAAUCAAACAGGAUUAGAAACCCCUGUAGUCC
rnacentral:rRNA from 1 species